rnacentral:rRNA from 1 species
CGCACGGGUGAGUAACACGUAUCCAACCUGCCGUCUACUCUUGGCCAGCCUCCUGAAAGGAAGAUUAAUCCAGGAUGGCAUCAUGAGUUCACAUGUCCGCAUGAUUAAAGGUAUUUUCCGGUAGACGAUGGGGAUGCGUUCCAUUAGAUAGUAGGCGGGGUAACGGCCCACCUAGUCAACGAUGGAUAGGGGUUCUGAGAGGAAGGCCCCCACAUUGGAACUGAGACACGGUCCAA